rnacentral:tmRNA from 1 species
GGGGAUGUUCUGGAUUCGUCACGGCAUGGAGUAGCGUAUAAGCAUGUCAUGGUCGCUCAUGUAAAAAAGCAGAGGUUAUAAUAACCGGAAACCAAUCUUUAAGUUUCGCUGCCUAAGAACAGGUGCGAGCCAAAUCUGAAUUUACUUACGGUUCUGAUGCGGCCCAAUUUUAGUAAGUUAUAUUUAUUAUCGUUCCUAAGAUAAUAAAAGAACCCUUUAGGAUAGUGUUGUAGCCUUUUGUUCGUUUAGGAUACUGCAUGAAAUUAUAAAUGAAAUAAACAUGUAGAAAGUACUCUAUAAAGUGUUUUGCACAGGGGUUCGAUCCCCCUCAUCUCCACCA